AUGGUAGAGAACGUUGUAAUAAUAAUUGGGCCAUGAGAGACUCUUUUAAGUAUUGCAAAGAAGUUGCAUCUUAUAUCUUAUAAAUAUAAAUAUAGAGUUUCCCCCAGUUUGGGAGAAACUAAGGUGGAAGGGAAUUGAGAUAACCUUUGAGCUCGUCAAAAGCUUGCUGAAAUCGAUCACUCCACUUCAAAUAUUCAUUUUUAUUAAAGAAUGGCAAACCUCGCUCAGCUGACUUAGAUAAAAAUAGAU
rnacentral:lncRNA from 1 species